rnacentral:rRNA from 1 species
AUUGAACGCUGGCGGCAGGCUUAACACAUGCAAGUCGAACGAGUGGCGGAAGGGAGAGUAAUGCUUGGGAAUCUAGGUUAUGGAGGGGGAUAACUACGGGAAACUGAAGCUAAUACCGAGUACAAGAGGAUGAGGCCAAGUGGGAUUAGGUAGUUGGUGAGGUAAAGGCUCACCAAGCCGACGAUCUCUAGCUGGUCUGAGAGGAUGACCAGCCACACUGGGACUGAGACACGGCCCAGACUCCUACGGGAGGCAGCAGUGGGGAAUAUUGCGCAAUGGGGGCAACCUGACGCAGCCAUGCCGCGUGAAUGAAGAAGGCCUUCGGGUUGUAAAGUUCUUUCGGUAGCGAGGCGUUAACUACAGAAGAAGCACCGGCUAACUCCGUGCCAGCAGCCGCGGUAAUAC